rnacentral:rRNA from 1 species
GUGGGUAGUUUGACUGGGGCGGUCUCCUCCUAAAGAGUAACGGAGGAGCACGAAGGUUAGCUAAUCCUGGUCGGACAUCAGGAGGUUAGUGCAAAGGCAUAAGCUAGCUUGACUGCGAGAGUGACGGCUCGAGCAGGUGCGAAAGCAGGUCUUAGUGAUCCGGUGGUUCUGAAUGGAAGGGCCAUCGCUCAACGGAUAAAAGGUACUCCGGGGAUAACAGGCUGAUACCGCCCAAGAGUUCAUAUCGACGGCGGUGUUUGGCACCUCGAUGUCGGCUCAUCACAUCCUGGGGCUGAAGUAGGUCCCAAGGGUAUGGCUGUUCGCCAUUUAAAGUGGUACGCGAGCUGGGUUUAGAACGUCGUGAGACAGUUCGGUCCCUAUCUGCCGUGGGCGCUGGAGAAUUGAGGGGGGCUGCUCCUAGUACGAGAGGACCGGAGUGGACGCAUCACUGGUGUUCGGGUUGUCAUGCCAAUGGCAUUGCCCGGUAGCUAAAUGCGGAAGAGAUAAGUGCUGAAAGCAUCUAAGCACGAAACUUGCCCCGAGAUGAGUUCUCCCUGAGACUUAAAGUCUCCUGAAGGAACGUUAAAGACGAUGACGUUGAUAGGUCGGGUGUGUAAGUGUAGCGAUACAUUGAGCUAACCGAUACUAAUGA